UACGUAGGGGGCAAGCGUUGUCCGGAUUCAUUGGGCGUAAAGAGCGUGUAGGCGGCCAGGUAGGUCGGUUGUGAAAACUGGGAGGCUCCAACCUUCAGAGGUCGACCGAAACCAUCUGGCUAGAGUCCGGGAGAGGAGAGUGGAAUUCCUGGUGUAGCGGUGAAAUGCGCAGAUAUCAGGAAGAACACCCGUGGCGAAAGCGGCUCUCUGGAACGGUACUGACGCUGAGACGCGAAAGCGUGGGGAGCGAACAGG
rnacentral:rRNA from 1 species